UACGGGAGGCAGCAGUGGGGAAUAUUGCACAACUGGGCGAAAGCCUGAUGCAGCGUAUGCCGCGUGUAUGAAGGAAGGCCUUAGGGUUGUAAAGUACUUUCAUCGGGGAGGAAAAAACAAAACUAAUAAUUUUAUUUCUUGACGUUACCCGAAAAAGAAGCACCGGCUAACUCCGUGCCAGCAGCCGCGGUAAUACGGAGGGUGCUAGCGUUAAUCAGAAUUACUGGGCGUAAAGAGGCACGUAGGGUCGGUUUUUUUAAGUCAGAUGGUGAAAUCCCUGGGCUUAACCUAGGAACUGCAUUUUGAAACUGAAAUACUAGAGUAUCGUAGAGGGAGGUAGAAUUCUAGGUGUAGCGGUGAAAUGCGUAGAUAUCUGGAGGAAUACCUGUGGCGAAAGCGGCCUCCUAAACGAAUACUGACACUGAGGUGCGAAAGCGUGGGGAGCAAACAGGGAUUAGAUACC
rnacentral:rRNA from 1 species